AAUACAUGCUAAAAGCCCCGACUUCGGAAGGGGCGUAUUUAUUAGAUUAAAAACCAAUGCCCUUCGGGGCUCCUUGGUGAUUCAUAAUAACUUAACGAAUCGCAUGGCCUUGUGCUGGCGAUGGUUCAUUCAAAUUUCUGCCCUAUC
rnacentral:ncRNA from 1 species